rnacentral:rRNA from 1 species
AACCGCGAAUGGCUCAUUAAAUCAGUCGAGGUUCCUUAGAUGACACGAUCCUACUUGGAUAACUGUGGCAAUUCUAGAGCUAAUACAUGCUUACCAAGCUCCGACCUUUAUUGGAAAGAGCGCUUUUAUUAGUUCAAAACCAAUCGCCGCGUGCGGGGCGACUCGUGCGCGGCGUCCCCAUUGGUGACUCUGGAUAACUUUGUGCUGAUCGCAUGGCCUUCGUGCCGGCGACGCAUCUUUCAAAUGUCUGCCCUAUCAAAUGUCGAUGGUACGUGAUAUGCCUACCAUGUUUGUAACGGGUAACGGGGAAUCAGGGUUCGAUUCCGGAGAGGGAGCAUGAGAAAGGGCUNCCACAUNCAACGANGGNGGAGGCGCGGCAAAA